UUUGGUGGUCACAGCGCCAGAGAAACACCCGAUCCCAUCCCGAACUCGGCCGUUAAGCUCGGUUGCGCCGAUGGUACUGCGUCUUAAGGCGUGGGAGAGUAGGUCACCGCCAAAC
rnacentral:rRNA from 1 species